GAUCAUGGCUCAGAACGAACGCUGGCGGCAUGCCUAACACAUGCAAGUCGAACGAAGCCUUCGGGCUUAGUGGCGCACGGGUGCGUAACGCGUGGGAAUCUGCCCUUGGGUUCGGAAUAACAGUUAGAAAUGACUGCUAAUACCGAAUGAUGUCUUCGGACCAAAGAUUUAUCGCCCAAGGAUGAGCCCGCGUCGGAUUAGCUAGUUGGUGAGGUAAAGGCUCACCAAGGCGACGAUCCGUAGCUGGUCUGAGAGGAUGAUCAGCCACACUGGGACUGAGACACGGCCCAGACUCCUACGGGAGGCAGCAGUGGGGAAUAUUGGACAAUGGGCGAAAGCCUGAUCCAGCAGUGCCGCGUGAGUGAUGAAGGCCUUAGGGUUGUAAAGCUCUUUUACCCGGGAUGAUAAUGACAGUACCGGGAGAAUAAGCCCCGGCUAACUCCGUG
rnacentral:rRNA from 1 species